rnacentral:rRNA from 1 species
AAUAGAUACCCCGGUAGUCCACGCCGUAAACGAUGAGUGCUAGGUGUUAGGGGGUUUCCGCCCCUUAGUGCUGCAGCUAACGCAUUAAGCACUCCGCCUGGGGAGUACGGUCGCAAGACUGAAACUCAAAGGAAUUGACGGGGGCCCGCACAAGCGGUGGAGCAUGUGGUUUAAUUCGAAGCAACGCGAAGAACCUUACCAGGUCUUGACAUCCCGCUGACCGCCAUGGAGACAUGGCCUUCCCUUCGGGGACAGCGGUGACAGGUGGUGCAUGGUUGUCGUCAGCUCGUGUCGUGAGAUGUUGGGUUAAGUCCCGCAACGAGCGCAACCCUUGUCCUUAGUUGCCAUCAUUCAGUUGGGCACUCUAAGGAGACUGCCGUACAAAUACGGAGGAAGGUGGGGAUGACGUCAAAUCAUCAUGCCCCUUAUGACCUGGGCUACACACGUGCUACAAUGGGUGGUACAAAGGGCAGCAAACCCGCGAGGGGGAGCGAAUCCCAAAAAGCCACUCUCAGUUCGGAUUGCAGG